UGCCCUACGGGUGGCUGCAGUAGGGAAUAUUGCGCAAUGGGGGAAACCCUGACGCAGCGACGCCGCGUGAGCGAUGAAGGCCUUCGGGUCGUAAAGCUCUGUCGUAUGGGAAUAAUUUUGAAUGUACCAUAUAAGAAAGGAUCGGCUAACUUCGUGCCAGCAGCCGCGGUAAGACGAGGGAUCCUAGCGUUGUUCGGAAUCAUUGGGCGUAAAGCGGGUGUAGGUUGCUUUUUAAGUCAGGUGUGAAAGCCUAGGGCUCAACCCUAGAAGUGCAUCUGAUACUAUUAAGCUUGAGUGUGGAAGAGGCUAUUAGAAUUCCUGGUGUAGUGGUGAAAUACGUAGAUAUCAGGAGGAAUACCAGCUGCGAAGGCGGAUAGCUGGUCCAACACUGACACUAAGACCCGAAAGCGUGGGGAUCAAACAGGAUUAGAUACCCCAGUAGUCGCA
rnacentral:rRNA from 1 species